CUCCGCCCUCUCCCUGCGCGGAAGAGAGGAGCGGGGAGUGAGAGGCCGAGGAGGCGGUGCCGUUUAUAUGGAGACUAGGCUAGGAGCCUGGGAGGAAGAGGAGGAGGAAAGGACCACCCGGCACGUCCUCGUGGUGGUUGCCUCCACUCCUCCAGCCCUUAGCCCAGGGCUGAUGUCAUCUGCAGCAAAUCAUUUCGCCGGCGGCCCGGAAGCUGGAAGGACGAGAUUGUUGGAUGAAAGAUGCAAGAAGUCAAUGAGAUGACUCAGGAGGAAAAAGAACUUGCUGCCACGCCUGGGGACCUACUAAGUUCCAUCCCAGGAUCCACACAAUGAGAGGAGAGAGCAGACUACCAUAAAUCGUCCUGUGACCUCCAUGCACAUUAGUUAAUUAAUUUUAAUAAGUGCAAUAGAAGAAAGAGCUUCUUCACGGUGGCCCUCUGUCUAAGAAAGCCAUGACCAGGAUCCACCCCAUUCUUUGCCCACCCUUUGCAAUCCAGGGAUAUUAUGGCAGAACACAGACUAGCAAUGGCUACUUUACACGCAGUCAGCUAAUGUCCAGUCCUUUUGUUGCAGAAAUGGAAAGAACUGGAUCUUUGUGACUAUGUGAGGGAAGAGUAAAGGGAAGAGACUUCAGAAGCACGUAACCCAGGCUAGGGAUCAGCCUAAGCAUCAAGACAUGAGUGAUUAGAUGAUACCCCACCCCCAUUUUCUUAGACAACGGAGUAACGGUAGCCUUACAAAAUAUGUACAGGUGACCCCUCUACCAACACCUCUGGGAGAAAAAAUAAAAGAAAACCCAACAUGGUCAGCCACUCUUCUAAGUUAGAAAAGUCCCCACUCCCAAGACAAAGGAGACAAUUGUAAAGAGAAGGAAAAUGCACCCACAAGGAAGCCUGCCUCUAUCACCAGCUUUGAGUGACUACACUUGAGUGUCCCAAAGGCUCUGCAAACUCGAUCGGCUCCAGGCCGGAAUCAUCUUCAUCCUCUAGCGCUGAUCUCGCGCAUCUGUUCCAUUGAACGGUAACACAUCUAUCCCACACCGCAAGGUAGAAACCAUGCCGACAUCUGGGACCCUUCCCUGGCUUCAAGUGCAGUCAGCGCUACAAGGAGCCUGGCGAGUUUCACUUUCGCCUUCUAGAUGUCUCCUCAACCAUCCACUUCUCUCCAUUAUCAUGGUCCCAGUCCUCGCCAUUAUGAGAGCUCUCUACAGAUAUGUGAAGCUUGACCUCAUUUUCGAAACUCCUGCACAGGAAGCCACAGUGUGAUUCGUCUGCCGUUCAUUCGCUCUUCCCCAUCUGCAGACCUUCAGCAGAUCUCUGCGUUCUUCAAACUGAUGUGGCAAUGGCCGUGUGUCUAUGUGUGUUCAGCUCUCUGGGCACAGACGGCUGGAGUAGAGCAGAUAGGCUACGUGUGUUACUUUAUUUUAACAUGAGCUGCCUCCUCCUGUCAAGAGACCUCAAGGGAAGUCAACUGCUGAGUUCCUGCCACAUCACCACCUCUUCUUCCAAACUCCCAGGGUUUUCCUCGUAACAGAUAAAUAUUCUUAUAAAAAAAAAUCAAGUUUUUAUUUGCCCCCACCCAUUAAUCUUUUAAAUCACAUUUCUUCUGUUUUAUCAAUUAAGCAUGUGCUCUUAAAUCAAUCUCUCUCUCUCU
rnacentral:lncRNA from 1 species